AAUAAGUUGAUUUGUAGGUUUCUGUGUCUAACCUUUAACCGUCUGUCUUAUAUAAAUUCUUUUUAUGAUUAUUAUUUUUAUUUUCAUUAGAUGAUAAAACAUGAAUAAUACUUUAUGUGUGACUUAUCUUUUCAAAUUUUUCAUCUUUUUAAUUUUUUUCAUAUUUUUUCAAAUAAAACGGACGGUUAAAGGUUAUACACGGAAACCCACGAAUCAACUUAUU
rfam:Oryza glaberrima chromosome 11 Oglab11_0016_29, whole genome shotgun sequence.